GCGCAGGAAAAGAAACCAACAGGGAUUGCCCUAGUAACGGCGAGUGGAGCGGCAACAGCUCAAAUUUGAAAUCUGGUCCUUCGGGGCCCGAGUUGUAAUUUGCAGAGGAUGCUUUUGGCGCGGUGCCUUCCGAGUGCCCUGGAGCGGGACGCCACAGAGGGUGAGAGCCCCGUAUGGUUGGACACCAAGCCUAUGUAAAGCUCCUUCGACGAGUCGAGUAGUUUGGGAAUGCUGCUCAAAAUGGGAGGUAAACCCCUUCUAAAGCUAGAUACUGGCCAGAGACCGAUAGCGCACAAGUAGAGUGAUCGAAAGAUGAAAAGCACUUUGAAAAGAGAGUUAAAAAGCACGUGAAAUUGUUGAAAGGGAAGCGUUUGCGACCAGACUUGCGCCCGUCGAAUCAGCCGUCCCUCGUGGGCGGUGCUCUUCGGCGGGCUCAGGCCAGCAUCAGUUUACUGCAGGGGGAGAAAUGCGCUGCGAAUAUGGCGCCUCCUAGAGUUGUAAUAGCGGGGCUUCAUAACCCUCGGUGGAGAAACUGAGGGGGGGUGAAAAAGCAUGGUAUGCUGGGCAUAUUGGUCGGUCAGCGCGCACGUGCUAGUAAACAGAGAACCCAAGUGAGUCGCAAGUAUAAGAGCGGGGUGCCCGGGAGGAACAAAGGCUCACGAUAUGUAAAUGAUGAGUGGAAACGCACGGUGAGGAGUUUUCGGGGGGAAUCAUCCGGAGUAUAGUUUGUGAUUUUUCCUGGGGCAUGGAAUUCUGAAAAGAGGGGACCCCCCGUGGGAUACCCAAGU
rnacentral:rRNA from 1 species